CCUUCGGUCUUCCCACCUCCCCACAGCUUACAGAGGCCUUGCAGCCCAGCCUGCCACUCAUUCUAGCUCUCAGUAUCUUGAGUACCUUCUGUGUCCUCGGCUUGGGCUGGGUGCUUUGAGACAUUAUCUUAUUUGAACUUCACGGAGGUGGAGGGGAGAUGUUAACCCCAUUGUACAGAUGGGGAAACCAAAGUUUAGAGAAACUUCAUUCAGCAAAUAUUUAUUAAGUGUCUAUUCUGUGUCAGCUGUGCCUCCUGCCCUCCCAAUCUGCUAGGAAAGACAAACAUUCCACAGACAAAAAUAGAAAAUGAUGGAUCAUACUAAGUCAUGUGACUGAAAAGACCGGGGAACUGGGAGAGACACGAGUGGAGGGAUCAGGAAAGACCUGUCUGCAGGUGGCAUUUAAGCUGAGACCAGAAGAGUGAACGGAUGUGACUUGCCCUUAAGGCUCACACACAAGUUGGGCUCAGAGCUGAGUCCUCCAGGUGGCUUGUGACCUCCGUCCACAUGCCUCAGUUCCUCGGGCAGACAUGGCCCAUCCCAAUGGCCAGAGAAGUGAGGCACAAGGCGAACAGUUAUAAGAGGACCCAGCGUGAGCGGAAUCUUGACACUCCCACCCUCUUGUCCCUGAGGUUGAGACUAGGACACCAAGAAGCCAGGAAAAGCAGAGAUGCUCCCACCCAAAGCAGAAUUUUGUGCAGCUAUGCGAGCAUAGGGGAUUUGGGCUCAAAAUAUGUCAAAGCUACAAGAUCUUUGCCAAGGCUGUGGCAGCAUGUCCUCUCCUCCUGGAUACCAGGGCCAGAGGCUUCGGACAACAAGGACCUUAGAAGCUAUCACCUCUAGGCCCUCCUGGAAUGGAUGGGAGAGAGGCCCAGAGACGGAAAGGAGCUAUCCAUAAGGUCACACAGCAAAAUGAAAUUUGGACUAAGGGAUCAUGCAUCUCCAUGUUUCCUAUCUCCCUGAAGUCACAUCGAAGCUGGGCGGCCCUUCACUCAGGGAAGGCUCUGGCUGUUCCUACUCCUACCUGGACCAUGAGCUAUUCGCAAAAACCUGGGCUCAUAUGGAACCAGCCUCAUCCCAGGUCCAUCUCCAACUUGCUGUGUGUCCUCCUGCAAGACUCAUCCCUCUCUGAGCCCCUUCUUCUUCAUCAGUGCCAUCACCUUCCUCACGGACUUGCCACUGCCUGCAAUUUUACCAUUAGAAAAGUGGCUGGAGGGCAGAGAGAGAGGUACGUAGAGGCAGGAAAUGGGGCUGGAAGUCAGCAGGGCCAGGCCAGUCAGGGCUGAAAAGCAUGGCUGUCCUCCUGGGGUCUGAGUCCAGAACUGCUUUGACCCACGUCUGUGGCAGAGCUGGGCCACACCCCCAAUCCCGUUACUCUGUCUGAGAAGCUGAUGGAUUGAGCUCAAAUCACCCUACCCAAGAGCCUUGCUGAGGCCCCAAGUGCGAGCCUCAGGGGUAUGACCAGAGCAAGGGGAGGCACCCGAAGCGGGGACUGGAGUCCUGGGCCAGGAGCCAGUGCCCAGCCUACCAGUGACUCACUGCGGCCCUCCUUGCUCUGGGCAUCAGUUUCCCCAUCUGCCCAAGGACACUGGAAGGGUGGGUCUCAGUCCUGAUGUUCAGACUCCAUACCACCACCAGGCCUUUGUCCGUGCUUGGGCAAGCCCAGCCUUCCCUUCCCUCUCUUCUCUGCCUCACAAACCCCUAGUCAUCCCUCCAGGCCCCAGUCAGCUGUCACCUCUGCCAGGAAGGCCUCACCAACACUCUUGGGGACAAGUUGCCCCUCUUGUAUGAUUCCACACCUUCUUCUGUAGGUGUCCAGCCAGGCCCAGUCCCGCCCUCACACUUGAGGGUGAGGAGCCAAUGAAUUACAACACAUGAAACCCUUAGAACAGCACCAGGCACAGAGCAAGCAGCCAUAUGUCCCAAUCAAUACCCCAGCAACCUGUCCUGUGUGUCUCCAGCCCCACCCUCUCCCCGAGCUCCUGACGCUUACCUGGCACCUCCCCUGGGAGGUCUCACAGGCAUUUCACCUUAACCUGCCCAGAGGCUCCUGGUCUCCCUCAAACCUGCCCCUCCUCAGUCUUCCCUUCAUGGUAAAGGGCCCCACCAUCCCUCAGGUGCUCAAAUCAAAGCCUGAUUCCCUGCUUUAUCUCCCAGCCCCACCCAGUCCGUCCACAAAUCCUAUCAGUUCUAGAAUCCAGCGGCUCCUUACUAACCCCACGGCCACCCCUGGUGUCUGAGCUGCUUCUGUGUCCUGCCUGGAUAGUGGCAGCAUCCCCCCACAACCCUCCAAUUUCCUCUGUUUUCGCACCACAGUCCAUCCUUCUCAAGACACCCUUUCAACCACCUACCGUAUCCCAUGGCUCCCAUCACGCUCAGAAACAAAUCCAAACUCCUCACCACAGCCUUCGACCUGUCCCCUCUCGACUCCCCCCACCACCAGGCUCUAGCCACUUUGCCCUUGGGCUCCUCCUGGGUCACGCCCAGCUCCUUCCCAUCUCAGAGCCAGUCCACUGCUGUCCCGUCUGAUGGAGUGCUACCCCCCAGGCCAUUCUCAGUGCCUGGCCUGCCCAAUCCUUGGCACCUGGCAGCAGCUCACUAAAUGGCUGCCAACCCUGCUGGGAUAGGGCGACAGGAACAGAGCCGGGUGUUGGCGGGAGUGCUGUGUCACCACCAGGUGGCGCUGCAGACACGUCCCUGGGCCGUGACCUCCUGUUCAGCCUCCAGAUUUGUUAAGUCAGCAAAGCCUCCCCGCCUCCCUCCCGUGCCAGGCGGUGCUGUGGGGCACCAGCUGACCCGGCCCCCGCCCUGCCUUUCUUCCAGUGGCUACGGGCAGACGAGGGCCGGGGGGUUCCACAGAAGCCUGGGAGGGCGGCCUGGCUGCCUCCCAUGGCCUGUACUUCAGGCUC